CCUACCUCAGCCUUCCAAAGUGUUGGGAUUACAGCACUCUCUGCCCAGUGCCUUUCUCCCCACCUCAGAAUGAAAAGCUAGGGGAACAGGAGGGAGCAUGUGCAGGGAAGCCCCCUCCCAUCAGGCCUGAAGUGCAAGUAGGCCUGUCCCUGUUCCUGCCUCACUCUUCCUGGAAAGCCUGGAUCUCUGCAUCUGAGCACCUUGCUGCCCUGGUCUGUUGCGAGCAUGUCAAGGAGCACUGGCUAGAACUUCCAUCCCUGUGGUGAAUAAGAGUGAUGAAAGUGGACACCAUCGUAUUAUUGAAUUGAAGGGAUGUAGAUGGAUAACAUGACCACAAGAGUUAGGCCCCGAAGCAGAUGAUUGCCUCUGGCACCCGCCGUAUGCAAUUCGAGGUGAAAUUUCCAAGAGCCAAAUGAAAUAAUUGCAACAGGCCUUCAUGGGGCUUUGAAUUCAGCCUCAAACAUUGUGAUAAUCCGAUCCUGACACUUGCCCUCCCCUCAUUCACUCUUUUAACAAUCCCAAGAGAGUGCAGGACUGAGAUCCGAAAAUGUUAUUAUGGAGGGGAAAUAAAGGUUAUUUUGAAUGCUUCAAGGUCACGUGACUUGUAAGAAGAAGUCAGUUGCUAUGUACAAAGUCCUACUACUCUAAGACUGCCAUACCAUGAGAAGCCCAACCUAGCCAUGUGGAGAGGUCAUGUGAAGGAGAACUGAGUCUUCCAGCCAGCAACCCCAGCUGAGCUUCCAGCCAACAAACAGCACUAACUUGCAUGGGAGAAGCUGUCCAGGAAGUGAAUCCUUGAGCUCCAAUUGAGCUGCCUCAAGCUGGUGUCACGUGGAGCAGAGAUGAGCUGUCCCUGACAUACCUUGCACAAAUUUCAGAAACAU
rnacentral:lncRNA from 1 species